CAGCCGCCACGGGAAUACGUAGGGUGCGAGCGUUAAUCGGAAUUACUGGGCGUAAAGCGUGCGCAGGCGGUUGUGUAAGACAGGUGUGAAAUCCCCGGGCUUAACCUGGGAACUGCGCUUGUGACUGCACAGCUAGAGUAUGGCAGAGGGGGGUGGAAUUCCACGUGUAGCAGUGAAAUGCGUAGAGAUGUGGAGGAACACCGAUGGCGAAGGCAGCCCCCUGGGCCAAUACUGACGCUCAUGCACGAAAGCGUGGGGAGCAAACAGGAUUAGAGACCCCUGUAGUCCCUGUCUCUUAUAC
rnacentral:rRNA from 1 species